AUUGAACGCUGGCGGUAGGCCUAACACAUGCAAGUCGAGCGGAUGAAGGGAGCUUGCUCCUGGAUUCAGCGGCGGACGGGUGAGUAAUGCCUAGGAAUCUGCCUGGUAGUGGGGGAUAACGUCCGGAAACGGGCGCUAAUACCGCAUACGUCCUGAGGGAGAAAGUGGGGGAUCUUCGGACCUCACGCUAUCAGAUGAGCCUAGGUCGGAUUAGCUAGUUGGUGGGGUAAAGGCCUACCAAGGCGACGAUCCGUAACUGGUCUGAGAGGAUGAUCAGUCACACUGGAACUGAGACACGGUCCAGACUCCUACGGGAGGCAGCAGUGGGGAAUAUUGGACAAUGGGCGAAAGCCUGAUCCAGCCAUGCCGCGUGUGUGAAGAAGGUCUUCGGAUUGUAAAGCACUUUAAGUUGGGAGGAAGGGCAGUAAGUUAAUACCUCGCUGUUUUGACGUUACCAACAGAAUAAGCACCGGCUAACUUCGUG
rnacentral:rRNA from 1 species